rnacentral:rRNA from 1 species
AGAAUCAACGCUGGCGGCGUGCCUAACACAUGCAAGUCGAACGAGAAAGGGUAGCAAUACCUGAGUAAAGUGGCGCACGGGUGAGUAACACGUGACUAACCUACCUUUUAGUGGGGGAUAACCUAGGGAAACCUGGGCUAAUACCGCAUAAUACCUACGGGUCAAAGCAGCAAUGCGCUGAUAGAGGGGUCGCGGCCGAUUAGCUAGUUGGCGGGGUAAUGGCCCACCAAGGCAGUGAUCGGUA